GGGGUGACUGAAACAAAGAAAAAAUAUUAUCGAAAUAAUUUCCGGUAACACCUUGUGAGAUAGCUAUAUGAUAAAGUUUUCUAUUUAUAAGUUAACAAUGGGAAAAACAAGUGCAUCAAUUAAAUGACAUUUUAUCUAAUCAAUUUUAUUUUGUUUAUGCGGCUUUUUUUAAUGUAAUAAAAUCUAGAGCGAUUAAGAUAAUGGUGUUGAGUGUAAUGGUUUGUCUGUGAUUUUUUCAGUUUUUCAGUGCCAUCGAGACGAGUGGGAACGUUAUUGUUUUAGCGUUUACUGUGUCUAAGUAACAACAUAAGAGGAUGUCUAGUAUAAUUUUUAUUUAUAGGUUGUUUUGCUUUUACAAAAUUAUCUGGAGUUCUAUAGACAAAGCAGAAAAGGUACCUACAGAAAUGGAGCAUGCAGAACAAACAUUUAAGAAAAGAAAAUUAGAAGAACCUAAACAAAACCUAUAUGAAUGCAAUAGACAAGCUAAGUUAAAUGAUGCACUGGUUUGUGAAUAUCGGUAGAAAUUCUGAAUCUGAGACUUAAUAAAAAGUUGCAUAUUGCAAAAGCGAAAUUAAGAUCUCUUUACAAUCAGAAAUAAUUGAUAAAGACCAAGAGAUAAACGACUUACCGAAGUGGAAAAGAAAGCGGAGGUAUCCACCGAUCUCAAAGAGUUAGAGAAUUGGUUACUGAAAUUGAACUACUAACCCAAAAAUGUGCUGACCUUGCAAAGUGCUUAAGAACACCAAGAAUCUUAAGAAGUUAUUUUACAGGAUAUAAAGAGGACAAUGAAGUAAGAAAUACAUAAUUAGAAAAAAUUGUUGCAUUAAUGAUAAAGCUUACUGAAUAUCUAAUACUUGCUAAUAGAGAUUUGGAGUUUUACAGACAUAACCCUUUGCAGGAUGAUAGUAAAGGGAAUUCCUUAUUUGCCGAAGUUGAUGACAGAUGCGUACAUGUACAGCAAAAAUUCAAUAACAUAUAAUCAAGCUAUAAUAACUUAAAAUAAAUAAAGACAUAAAAAAUGACUUUGGUCUUGUUCCAGGUGGAGAAAAGGGAACAAAUGCUGAUUGACAAAUAAUAGAAAAGGCAUAUGAAUUUGUCGAUUACAGUAAGGCAUUCGGCCUGUGUAAAAUGGAAGAAUUUGUGGCUUAUAACAUGGGAGUGAGAAAACAUGAUUAUUUUGCUUAAAAAUCUCUGCAACAACAGUUGCAGAAAGGUUAAAAUCAACAACACGCUAUCUGAGUCUUUAAGUCCACAGUGAGGUGUAAGAGGGCUGAAUUGUGUCACCGAUACUCUUCUAUGUACAGGGCGAGUCAUUUAUAUUGCACGAAUAUUUAAGGGCAAAAGGUUAAAAUAUUGGAAAAAUUCCUAUAAACCUAUGUCCGAAAAUGCGUCGCUGUAGAGAUACUGAGCGUUGAAAUUUUAAUCAUAAUCAUUUUCUUUAUUCAAUUUAAUUCUUAUAAAAUCAAAGGUUUUUUUACAAAAGAAGGGAAAAGUGAUUAACAUGACGUAAUACACAAACUAGGAGUAGAGGUUAUAAAAGUUGUUAAAAGUGUUGCCCUUUAACUUCAAUGCAAGCAACUACCGUACGAACCACUGAUUGCCGCACUGCUGUGUUUCGAAUUGUUGCGCAAUUUGCCACUAUCUUAUUUCUAAACUCUUCAACAUUUUCAAUUGGGGUAGUAUAAACUAAUUGUUUUAGGUAACCCCCAGAGGAAAAAGUCUAAUGAGUUUAAGUCGGGAGAUCUCGGAGACCACGUUUGUGGAGCUCAUCUCGCUUGUGUUUUACGUCAUGUUACUGACUUUUCUCUUUUCUAAAAACUUUUGAUUUUAUAAGAAUUAAAUUGAAUAAUUGUUAUUUUCAUGGUUGUAUUUAAAAACUCAAAAUGUAAAACGUGGCGCUCUCUAUUAGUGACAUUAAAACUAUCAACAAAAUUUAGCACCUUACAAAACCUUCCUAUACCUAAUUGCACAGAUGUAUCUGUGCCUAAUUGUAUAUUGCUAUUCUCGUUUACUUUCCACUUAUUUAGAAAAAUUGAAAACUAAAUUAAAAUUUCAACGUAUAUCUGUGUCUAUCGUUGCCCAGGGAAGCAUUUUCGGACAUAUUAUGUUUAUAUUGGAAGUUUUUUUAAUAUUUUGACCCAAGGAAUACACCCUUAAACUUUCGUGCAAUAUUAAUGACUCACCCUGUAUAUGAAGAGUAAAUAAUGAGAAAAGUUCUGCCAGACUGGCGAGGGGGAUUAACCGUAGGUGGAAAAGAAUUAUUUAUCUCAGAUAUGCAAAUGACACCUUAAUACUAGCUCGUUCCAAGGAAUUUAUAGGAAUCAUGAGAAUGAGAAGGUCGAUAAUUUUAAAAUGAUUGAGAAAUUUGAUUAUUUGGGAUCACUUAUCACAAACAAAGCCAACAAACUGAAGUUAUUAAACCUAUUGAUCUCUCUUAUUGCCAAAAUGAGACCUAGACUUUAAAAAUGGCCAAUCGAAUAGAUGCUUUUGAAAUGUGGGCCUACAGAACAAUGCUGCGAAUAUCAUAUAGAGAACAUCGACCAGGUUAUCAACCAAUCAUAUCUACGGUAUUUUGGACACAUUUCAAGAAGAACGAAUGGGCUGAAACUGCUUAUUGUGGAGUAGAAAAAUCAAUAGUAAACGAUGAAGAGGAAGGUCUUCGACUCUAGGUGGAUCAAAUCGAAGAAAUCAUUGAUCACAGCCUGCAGGAAGCUUCUCUUCAAGCCUGAGAACUACGAUCCGAGCAAGUGAAACAUGAUUUCAACAUACUCUCUCGAAAGUAAAAGGUUAAGAGAGGGAGUGACUAUUAAAUAUAAAGGGGAUACUAGUGAAUUUUAACUAACAAGUCACAAUUAUUAAACUAAUUAUAAGUUUUAAGUAACAUAAUUGUAUCUUCUAUAAUAAAUGCAUAAAACCUGCCAUAAAAUCACACCUCAAUAAACAACCGACAUUUAUCACAUCUAAGGCUGAUUUUGUUUUUAAUUUUUAUGGAUUUACAGGUAUGCGACGCCUAUAAAAUUAUUUGAACCUACAAAAGGAAUAAACAAUCAUAUUUAAUA